GAUGAACGCUAGCUACAGGCUUAACACAUGCAAGUCGAGGGGAAACGACAUCGAAAGCUUGCUUUUGAUGGGCGUCGACCGGGGCACGGGUGAGUAACGCGUAUCCAACCUGCCCACCACUUGGGGAUAACCUUGCGAAAGUAAGACUAAUACCCAAUGCUAUCUCUAGAAGACAUCUGAAAGGGACUAAAGAUUUAUCGGUGAUGGAUGGGGAUGCGUCUGAUUAGCUUGUUGGCGGGGUAACGGCCCACCAAGGCUACGAUCAGUAGGGGUUCUGAGAGGAAGGUACCCCACAUUGGAACUGAGACACGGUCCAAACUCCUACGGGAGGCAGCAGUGAGGAAUAUUGGUCAAUGGACGAGAGUCUGAACCAGCCAAGUAGCGUGCAGGAUGACGGCCCUAUGGGUUGUAAACUGCUUUUAUAAGGGAAUAAAGUGAGUCUCGUGAGACUUUUUGCAUGUACCUUAUGAAUAAGGACCGGCCAAUUCCGUGCCAGCAGCCGCCGUAACAC
rnacentral:rRNA from 1 species